AGAGUUUGAUCCUGGCUCAGGACGAACGCUGGCGGCGUGCUUAACACAUGCAAGUGGAGCGACGAACCAGGGCUUGCCCUGGGGCAAAGCCGCGAACGGGUGAGUAACACGUGGGUAACCUGCCCCGAUGACCGGGACAACCCGAGGAAACUCGGGCUAAUACCGGAUGUGCUCGCGCGCCAUCAGGCGCACGAGCAAAGGAAGCUUCGGCCUCCGCAUCGGGAUGGGCCCGCGGCCCAUUAGCUUGUUGGUGGGGUAACGGCCCACCAAGGCCGCGAUGGGUAGCUGGUCUGAGAGGACGAUCAGCCACACUGGGACUGAGACACGGCCCAGACUCCUACGGGAGGCAGCAGUGGGGAAUCUUGCGCAAUGGGCGAAAGCCUGACGCAGCGACGCCGUGUGCGGGAAGAAGGCCUUCGGGUUGUAAACCGCUUUCAGGAGGGACGAAGCCACUCGGGUUAAUAGCCCAGAGGGUGACGGUACCUCCAGAAGAAGCCCCGGCUAACUACGUGCCAGCAGCCGCGGUAAUACGUAGGGGGCUAGCGUUGUCCGGAUUUAUUGGGCGUAAAGAGCGCGUAGGCGGCCUGACAGGUCGUGGGUGCAAGCCCCAGGCUCAACCUGGGGAGGUCCUGCGAUACCAUCAGGCUUGAGGAUCGUAGAGGGGGGCGGAAUUCCCGGUGGAGCGGUGGAAUGCGUAGAUAUCGGGAGGAACACCCGAGGCGAAGGCGGCCCCCUGGGCGAUACCUGACGCUGAGGCGCGAAAGCGUGGGGAGCAAAGCGGAUUAGAUACCCCCGUAGUCC
rnacentral:rRNA from 1 species